rnacentral:rRNA from 1 species
UGGUUUAAUUCGAUGCAACGCGAAGAACCUUACCUGGUCUUGACAUCCACGGAAGUUUUCAGAGAUGAGAAUGUGCCUUCGGGAACCGUGAGACAGGUGCUGCAUGGCUGUCGUCAGCUCGUGUUGUGAAAUGUUGGGUUAAGUCCCGCAACGAGCGCAACCCUUAUCCUUUGUUGCCAGCGGUCCGGCCGGGAACUCAAAGGAGACUGCCAGUGAUAAACUGGAGGAAGGUGGGGAUGACGUCAAGUCAUCAUGGCCCUUACGACCAGGGCUACACACGUGCUACAAUGGCGCAUACAAAGAGAAGCGACCUCGCGAGAGCAAGCGGACCUCAUAAAGUGCGUCGUAGUCCGGAUUGGAGUCUGCAACUCGACUCCAUGAAGUCGGAAUCGCUAGUAAUCGUGGAUCAGAAUGCCACGGUGAAUACGUUCCCGGGCCUUGUACACACCGCCCGUCACACCAUGGGAGUGGGUUGCAAAAGAAGUAGGUAGCUUAACCUUCGGGAGGGCGCUUACCACUUUGUGAUUCAUGACUGGGGUGAAGUCGUAACAAGGUAACCGUAGGGGAACCUGCGGUUGGAUCACCUCCUUA